AUACGUAGGUGGCAAGCGUUGUCCGGAUUUACUGGGCGUAAAGGAUGCGUAGGUGGAUAUUUAAGUGGGAUGUGAAAUACCCGGGCUCAACUUGGGUGCUGCAUUCCAAACUGGAUAUCUAGAGUGCAGGAGAGGAAAGUGGAAUUCCUAGUGUAGCGGUGAAAUGCGUAGAGAUUAGGAAGAACACCAGUGGCGAAGGCGACUUUCUGGACUGUAACUGACACUGAGGCAUGAAAGCGUGGGGAGCAAACAGGAUUAGAUACCCUGGUAGUCCACGCCGUAAACGAUGGGUACUAGGUGUAGGAGGGUCCAACCUUCUGUGCCGCCGUUAACACAUUAAGUACCCCGCCUGGGGAGUACGGUCGCAAGAUUAAA
rnacentral:rRNA from 1 species